rnacentral:misc_RNA from 1 species
AUCAAUGGCUACCGAUUUCUCGUUUGAACAACCCAGCGAUGAAGAAGUUGAAUAUGAGGAGAAUGAUGACAGUGAAGAAGAAGAACAUGAAGUGGAUGAAGAUAAUGAAGAUGCCGACCCCAAACCUCGAACGAAUAAGAAGCCGCAAUCUCCAUGGGACUUCUCUUCUUACUCUGAAUCCGUUGCUGAUGAACACAGCCACCGUAGAACAACUUCAAUUGAUUUCAAAAUAUCUAAGGCUCGUCAACAACUCUCUGCUCCUAUAGCUAAACCAAUCGAGGAAGAUUCCGAUUCCGACGAUUCAGAACCUCACCGCCAGGAAGAGUACAGACCCG